rnacentral:rRNA from 1 species
GUCCACGCCCUAAACUAUGUCAACUGGGUGUUGGGGAAGCGAUUCCUCAGUACCGCAGCUAACGCGUGAAGUUGACCGCCUGGGGAGUACGGCCGCAAGGUUAAAACUCAAAGGAAUUGACGGGGACCCGCACAAGCGGUGGAUGAUGUGGAUUAAUUCGAUGCAACGCGAACAACCUUACCUACCCUUGACAUGUGCCGAAGGCCGCUGAGAGGUGGUUGUGCCCGAAAGGGAACGGCAACACAGGUGCUGCAUGGCUGUCGU